rnacentral:piRNA from 1 species
GGGUUUCAUGUUACAAUGUCUGUCUAAUGG